AGCGAACGCUGGCGGCAGGCCUAACACAUGCAAGUCGAACGGACCCUUCGGGGUUAGUGGCGGACGGGUGAGUAACACGUGGGAACGUGCCUUUAGGUUCGGAAUAGCUCCUGGAGACGGGUGGUAAUGCCGAAUGUGCCCUUCGGGGGAAAGAUUUAUCGCCUUUAGAGCGGCCCGCGUCUGAUUAGCUAGUUGGUGAGGUAACGGCUCACCAAGGCGACGAUCAUUAGCUGGUCUGAGAGGAUGACCAGCCACACUGGGACUGAGACACGGCCCAGACUCCUACGGGAGGCAGCAGUGGGGAAUCUUGCGCAAUGGGCGAAAGCCUGACGCAGCCAUGCCGCGUGAAUGAUGAAGGUCUUAGGAUUGUAAAAUUCUUUCACCGGGGACGAUAAUGACGGUACCCGGAGAAGAAGCCCCGGCUAACUUCGUG
rnacentral:rRNA from 1 species